rnacentral:antisense_RNA from 1 species
CUUCAGGAUGCCUCUGUCCCUCUGUGAGAAGCAGAGUUCCACUUCAUUAUCUCCAUAAUCCAACCUGGGGCUGGGUAAGAAGAGCACAGCCACUCUCUGAGUGAUUUAACAGGAUGCUUUAAUGAUUUAUAGAAAAGGAACAUUGACCCCAGAUGAGCAAAGCAAGGCUUAAAGAGCUAAGGAGACUGAGGGAAUGAAGGUUUUGAAGUGGUCUGAAUGGAGAAAGAAGUGGUGGGAGAGCUGAGUCAUCAUGCAGCACACGGCAAGGUAGCAGAAAACCCCAGAGAACAACAGCAGCCUGCCCCAGAGUCAGCCGUGAGCGCUGAUUUAGUUUCAGGAAAACAAUAACACUUUGUCCCAUUAAAUUAAUGUUGUUAAUUUGAAGUUUA